rnacentral:sRNA from 1 species
UUUUAGCCCUGAUUGCAGCGACAUCCUUUUUCUUUUUGGAUUGAAAAAAGCGUUGGCGAAAAAGAUAUAGCGGAAAGCAGGAUUAAGC